AUUGAACGCUGGCGGCAGGCCUAACACAUGCAAGUCGAACGAGUGGCGGACGGGUGAGUAAUGCCUGGGAAACUGCCUGAUGGAGGGGGAUAACUACUGGAAACGGUAGCUAAUACCGCAUACCAUCGGAUGUGCACACAUGGGUUUAGGUAGUUGGUGGGGUAAAGGCUCACCUAGGCGACGAUCUCUAGCUGGUCUGAGAGGAUGACCAGCCACACUGGAACUGAGACACGGUCCAGACUCCUACGGGAGGCAGCAGUGGGGAAUAUUGCACAAUGGGCGCAAGCCUGAUGCAGCCAUGCCGCGUGUAUGAAGAAGGCCUUCGGGUUGUAAAGUACUUUCAGCGGGGAGGCGUUACCCGCAGAAGAAGCACCGGCUAACUCCGUGCCAGCAGCCGCGGUAAUUC
rnacentral:rRNA from 1 species